UGAUCCUGGCUCAGGAUGAACGCUGGCGGCGUGCCUAAUACAUGCAAGUCGAGCGAACAGAUAAGGAGCUUGCUCCUUUGACGUUAGCGGCGGACGGGUGAGUAACACGUGGGUAACCUACCUAUAAGACUGGAAUAACUCCGGGAAACCGGGGCUAAUGCCGGAUAACAUGUUGAACCGCAUGGUUCUACAGUGAAAGGCGGCUUUGCUGUCACUUAUAGAUGGACCCGCGCCGUAUUAGCUAGUUGGUGAGGUAACGGCUCACCAAGGCAACGAUACGUAGCCGACCUGAGAGGGUGAUCGGCCACACUGGAACUGAGACACGGUCCAGACUCCUACGGGAGGCAGCAGUGGGGAAUUUUC
rnacentral:rRNA from 1 species